AUGUGACAUGUUAGGACUCUUUGAUGAGUUUAAGACUUAAUGAGCCUCUUAAGUGAGGACGCCAGCACUCUUUUUUUCUCUAUAUUUUUUAAAAAAACGAAAAUUUCUAGCCUUAUCGGUGGAUCACUCGGCACGUGGAUCGAUGAAGAACGCAGCAAACUGCGAUAAUUUGUGCGAACUGCAGAAACCUUGAGCACAAAAGUUUUGAACGCAUAUUGCAGCAUUGGGGUCAAACCCUUUGCUACGUCUGGUUCAGGGUCAUU
rnacentral:rRNA from 1 species